rnacentral:rRNA from 1 species
CAGUAGCCGCGGGAAUACAGAGGGUGCGAGCGUUAAUCGGAUUUACUGGGCGUAAAGCGUGCGUAGGCGGCUUUUUAAGUCGGAUGUGAAAUCCCUGAGCUUAACUUAGGAAUUGCAUUCGAUACUGGGAAGCUAGAGUAUGGGAGAGGAUGGUAGAAUUCCAGGUGUAGCGGUGAAAUGCGUAGAGAUCUGGAGGAAUACCGAUGGCGAAGGCAGCCAUCUGGCCUAAUACUGACGCUGAGGUACGAAAGCAUGGGGAGCAAACAUGAUUAGAUACCCCCGUAGUCCCUGUCUCUUAUAC